GACAGAGGUGCCAAGCGUUAGGCGGAAUCACUGGGCUUAAAGCGUGUGUAGGCGGAUGCCUAAGUACCUUGUGAAAUCCCACGGCUCAACCGUGGAACUGCUUGGUAUACUGGGUGUCUUGAGCCAUCUAGGGGCUACCGGAACAAAUGGUGGAGCGGUGAAAUGCGUAGAUAUCAUUUGGAACGCCAAUGGUGAAAACAGGUAGCUGGGGAUGUGCUGACGCUGGAGACACGAAAGCCAGGGGAGCAAACGGG
rnacentral:rRNA from 1 species